rnacentral:rRNA from 1 species
ACCAGACUCCUACGGGAGGCAGCAGUGGGGGAUAUUGCACAAUGGGGGGAACCCUGAUGCAGCGACGCCGCGUGGGUGAAGGAGUGCUUCGGCAUGUAAAGCCCUAUCGGCAGGGAAGAAGCAAGACGGUACCUGACUAAGAAGCCCCGGCUAACUACGUGCCAGCAGCCGCGGUAAUACGUAGGGGGCAAGCGUUAUCCGGAUUUACUGGGUGUAAAGGGAGCGUAGACGGCAGUGCAAGUCCGGAGUGAAAGCCCGGGGCUCAACCCUGGGACUGCUCUGGAAACUGUAAAGCUGGAGUGCGGGAGGGGCAGGCGGAAUUCCUGGUGUAGCGGUGAAAUGCGUAGAUAUCAGGAGGAACACCGGCGGCGAAGGCGGCCUGCUGGACCGUAACUGACGUUGAGGCUCGAAAGCGUGGGGAGCAAACAGGAUUAGAUACCCGCGUAAA